AGCAGCCGCCGCGGGAAAACGUAGGUGGCAAGCGUUGUCCGGAAUUAUUGGGCGUAAAGGGCUCGCAGGCGGUUUCUUAAGUCUGAUGUGAAAGCCCCCGGCUCAACCGGGGAGGGUCAUUGGAAACUGGGAAACUUGAGUGCAGAAGAGGAGAGUGGAAUUCCACGUGUAGCGGUGAAAUGCGUAGAGAUGUGGAGGAACACCAGUGGCGAAGGCGACUCUCUGGUCUGUAACUGACGCUGAGGAGCGAAAGCGUGGGGAGCGAACAGGAUUAGAUACCCCUGUAGUCCCUGUCUCUUAUAC
rnacentral:rRNA from 1 species